rnacentral:rRNA from 1 species
GAUGAACGCUAGCGGCAGGCUUAAUACAUGCAAGUCGUGGGGCAGCAGGGGUGUAGCAAUACACUCGCUGGCGACCGGCAAACGGGUGCGGAACACGUACGCAACCUACCCAAAACUGGGGGAUAGCCCGGGGAAACCCGGAUUAAUACCUCGUAACAUAAUGGAGUGGCGAUACACUUUAUUAUUAUAGCUCCGGCGGUUUUGGAUGGGCGUGCGCCUGAUUAGGUAGGUUGGCGGGUAACGGCCCACCAAGCCUACGAUCAGUAACUGGUGUGAGAGCACGACCAGUCACACGGGCACUGAGACACGGGCCCGGACUCCUACGGGAGGC